CAACAGCAAUAGCCUCAAUAGCCUCCUCAUUCUCUUUGUUCUUCUUCUUCUUCUUCUUCUUCUUUUCAAUUUCAUCACUCCCUGCAUCAAUUGCACUAUCAACAACAGCAACAGCAAUAGCCUCUAUAGCCUCCUCAAUCUCUUUGUUCUUCUUCUUCUUCUUCUUCUUUUUCUGCUUUUCAAUUUCAUCACUCCCUACAUCAAUUGCACCAUCAACAACAGCAAUAGCCUCAAUAGCAUCCUCAUUUUCAUUGCUCUUCUUCUUCUUCUUUUUCUUCUUUUCAAUUUCAUCAUUCCCUACAUCAAUUGCACCAUCAACAACAGCAAUAGACUCAAUAGCAUCCUCAUUUUCGUUGCUCUUUUUCUUCUUUUCAAUUUCAUCACUCCCUACAUCAAUUGCACCAUCAACAACAGCAACAGCCUCAAUAGCAUCCUCAUUUUCAUUGCUCUUCUUCUUCUUCUUCUUCUUCUUCUUCUUUUUCUUAUUUUCAAUUUCAUCACUCCCUGCAUCAAUUGCACCAUCAACAACAGCAAUAGCCUCCUCAUUCUCUUUGUUCUUCUUCUUCUUCUUCUUCUUCUUCUUCUUUUUCUUCUUUUCAAUUUCAUCACUCCCUACAUCAAUUGCACCAUCAACAACAGCAAUAGCCUCAAUAGCAUCCUCAUUUUCAUUGCUCUUCUUCUUCUUCUUUUUCUUCUUUUCAAUUUCAUCACUCCCUACAUCAAUUGCACCAUCAACAACAGCAAUAGACUCAAUAGCAUCCUCAUUUUCGUUGCUCUUUUUCUUCUUUUCAAUUUCAUCACUCCCCACAUCAAUUGCACCAUCAACAACAGCAAUAGCCUCAAUAGCAUCCUCAUUUUCAUUGCUCUUCUUCUUCUUCUUUUUCUUCUUUUCAAUUUCAUCACUCCCUACAUCAAUUGCACCAUCAACAACAGCAAUAGACUCAAUAGCAUCCUCAUUUUCGUUGCUCUUUUUCUUCUUUUCAAUUUCAUCACUCCCCACAUCAAUUGCACCAUCAACAACAGCAAUAGCCUCAAUAGCAUCCUCAUUUCCAUUGCUCUUCUUCUUCUUCUUUUUCUUAUUUUCAAUUUCAUCACUCCCUACAUCAAUUGCACCAUCAACAACAGCAAUAGCCUCAAUAGCCUCCUCAUUCUCUUUGUUCUUCUUCUUCUUCUUCUUCUUUUUCUUCUUUUCAAUUUCAUCACUCCCUGCAUCAAUUGCAUUAUCAACAACAGCAACAGCAAUAUCCUCAAUAGCAUCCUCAUUUUCAUUGCUCUUCUUCUUUUUCUUUUUAUUCUUUUCAAUUUCAUUACUCCCUACAUCAAUUGCACCAUCCACAACAGCAACAGCAAUAGCCUCAAUAGCAUCCUCAUUUUCAUUGCUCUUCUUCUUUUUCUUAUUUUCAUUUUCAUCACUCCCUACAUCAAUUGCACCAUCAACAACAGCAAUAGCCUCAAUAGCAUUCUCAUUUUCAUUGCUCUUCUUCUUUUUCUUCUUUUCAAUUUCAUCACUCCCUACAUCAAUUGCACCAUCAACAACAGCAAUAGCCUCAAUAGCAUCCUCAUUUUCAUUUCUCUUCUUCUUCUUCUUCUUUUUCUUCUUUUCAAAUUCAUCACUCCCUACAUCAAUUGCACUAUCAACAACAGCAACAGCAAUAGCCUCAAUGGCAUCUACAUUCUCAUUGCUCUUCUUCUUCUUAUUUUUCUUUGUUUCAAUUUCAUCAGCCCCUAUGUCAUUAGCACCAUCAACAGCAGCAGCAACAGCCUGAUCACUCUCUUUGCUCUUCUUCUUUUUCCUCUCAGUAUCUAUUGAACCGGCUUCAACCCCAUCUUCAUUUUCCUUCUCAGUCUUCACUUCGGCUUCCACAUCACCAUCCUCUUUAUUCUUCUUCUUCUUUUUCUUUUUCUUUUUCACUAGAACUUCAACUUCAUUUUUCUCAUCACCACUAGCUUCAUCCGAUUUCUCCCUUUCCAUUUCCACCACUACAAUCUUCUUUUCCAACAUAGAAUCCCAACCAUCAGGCAACACAACAUUUCUCAACCACUCUUUAGGAGUACUGUCGUUAAAGAGUGCAAGCGGGUCAGCAGAAGCAGCAAUGCUUGCAACCAUAGAAUCCUCAUCGGCAGGCAUCGAACACACUUUAGGAGUAUCGUCGUUUGGGUUAUCCAAUUUGGUUUGGGGUUUAACCAUGAAAUCUUGGUCGGGUUCUUUCGUUUCAGAACUGGGUUUGGUUUUUUCUCUUACGCUUUUUCUUUUCCGAGCGAGAAAGGUCGAGAUUAGGCUCAGACAUUGUCGCUCUUCUUCAUUUCCUUUCCUUUUCCUUUUGG
rnacentral:lncRNA from 1 species